GGGCCCGGAGCCUAUGAGGACAGGCAAGCGGCCUUUAACCGCAAGAUAGCGGGUUCGAAUCCCGUCGGGCCCU
rfam:Halogranum salarium B-1 162.HSB1.1_14, whole genome shotgun sequence.